CUUUUGCCUGAACAGCACUGGAUCCAUCUGUUGAUAUUCUUUAUAACCCUUAUAACAGGGGCCUUGACAGAUGAAGAUGUGAUAAGAGCUCUGUUGGGUGGGAGUGCGUCUUUUAAUUUUAAGGUUACAACAAACAUGAAAGUAACCCUGUAUGGAAAAAGUGUCCAAAUCAGAAGGUUUUUGUGUUCAGCCCCAUCCAUGGACUUACUAUAUUUGACAACAACUAUGCUGGUCGUCUUUCCGUAAAAUCUAACCACAGCAUUAUACUGGAUAAAUUACAAGAGAGUGACUUUGUGACUUACUGUUACGAACUCACCACUUUCCCAAAUGGGAGUCUUCAAGGACAAAAUAAGCUAGAGAAAACGACAGAAAAUGGUGACCUGCCCAUCACGAUAAUCUCUGUGUGUUGCAGCAUAGGUUUAAUAGUAUUAUGUGGAAUCAUCGCAGGAGUGGUUUGCUAUAAGAAGAGGAAAAGCAACACUGCGUUGCAUCCUGGAGGACCUCCUGGCAGUCAGCCCUCUGUGCGGCUGAAAAAUAAGAAGCGACCCAA